rnacentral:rRNA from 1 species
GGGAUAUUGCACAAUGGGGGGAACCCUGAUGCAGCGACGCCGCGUGGGCGAGGGAGCGCCUCGGCGCGUAAAGCCCUUCCGGCGGGGGAGAACGAUGACGGUACCCGACGAAGAAGCACCGGCUAAAUACGUGCCAGCAGCCGCGGUAAUACGUAUGGUGCGAGCGUUGUCCGGAUUUACUGGGCGUGAAGGGGGCGCAGGCGGCGCGCCAAGCCCGAUGUGAAAGCCCGGGGCUCAACCCCGGGACUGCAUUGGGAACUGGCGUGCUGGAGUGCCGGAGGGGCAGGCGGAAUUCCUGGUGUAGCGGUGAAAUGCGUAGAUAUCAGGAGGAACACCGGUGGCGAAGGCGGCCUGCUGGACGGAUACUGACGCUGAGGCCCGAAAGCGUGGGGAGCGAACAGG